UGGAGAGUUUGAUCCUGGCUCAGGACGAACGCUGGCGGCGUGCUUAACACAUGCAAGUCGAACGGUAAGGCCCCUUCGGGGGUACACGAGUGGCGAACGGGUGAGUAACACGUGGGUGACCUGCCCUGUACUUCGGGAUAAGCCUGGGAAACUGGGUCUAAUACCGGAUAUGACCUUCUCCUGCAUGGGGGUUGGUGGAAAGUUUUUGCGGUACAGGAUGGGCCCGCGGCCUAUCAGCUUGUUGGUGGGGUAAUGGCCUACCAAGGCGACGACGGGUAGCCGGCCUGAGAGGGCGACCGGCCACACUGGGACUGAGACACGGCCCAGACUCCUACGGGAGGCAGCAGUGGGGAAUAUUGCACAAUGGGCGAAAGCCUGAUGCAGCGACGCCGCGUGAGGGAUGACGGCCUUCGGGUUGUAAACCUCUUUCAGUAGGGACGAAGCGCAAGUGACGGUACCUACAGAAGAAGCACCGGCCAACUACGUGCCAGCAGCCGCGGUA
rnacentral:rRNA from 1 species